AAACGGACACACGUGAGCGAGGAUAGUAUCCUAAGGCGCUUGAGAGAAUCCAGGUAAAGGAACUCGGCAAAUUAGCCCCGUAACUUCGGGAGAAGGGGUGCCACGAGUAGGUGAACUUCCGCGCGAAGGGAGCCCAAAGUGGCCGCAGUGACCAGGCCCAAACGACUGUUUACUAAAAACACAGGUCUCUGCUAAGUCGCAAGACGAAAUAUAGGGACUGACACCUGCCCGGUGCUGGAAGGUUAAAUGGAGGGGUUAGCUCUGACUUGUCAGAGCGAAGCUCUGAAAUGAAGCCCCAGUAAACGGCGGCCGUAACUAUAACGGUCCUAAGGUAGCGAAAUUCCUUGUCGGGUAAGUUCCGACCUGCACGAAUGGUGUAACGAUUUGGGCACUGUCUCGACCAGAGACUCGGCGAAAAUGAAGUGUCGGUGAAGAUGCCGGCUACCCGCGGCAGGACGGAAAGACCCCGUGAACCUUUACUACAGCUUGACAUUGGGUUUUGGUUUUUAUUGUAGAGAAUAGAUGGGAGGCUUUGAAGCAGUGACGCCAGUUGUUGUGGAGCCGUCUUUGGAAUACCAUCCUAUAAUUGCUGAAAUUCUAACCAGGUACCUUGAAUCAGGUACUGGGACAUUGUCUGGUGGGUAGUUUGACUGGGGCGGUCUCCUCCUAAACAGUAACGGAGGAGCGCAAUGGUUCCCUCAGCACGGUCGGUAAUCGUGCGUAGAGUGUAAACGCAUAAGGGAGCUUGACUGCGAGACAUACAGGUCGAGCAGGUGCGAAAGCAGGUGUUAGUGAUCCGGUGGUUCCGAAUGGAAGGGCCAUCGCUCAACGGAUAAAAGGUACUCCGGGGAUAACAGGCUUAUCUCCCCCAAGAGCUCAUAUCGACGGGGAGGUUUGGCACCUCGAUGUCGGCUCGUCGCAUCCUGGGGCUGGAGAAGGUCCCAAGGGUUGGGCUGUUCGCCCAUUAAAGCGGCACGCGAGCUGGGUUUAGAACGUCGUGAGACAGUUCGGUCCCUAUCUGCUGUGGGCGUAGGAUAUUUGAGGGGAGUUGCUCCUAGUACGAGAGGACCGGAGUGAACAGACCUAUGGUGCACCAGUUGUCACGCCAGUGGCAUAGCUGGGUAGCUACGUCUGGUAAGGAUAAACGCUGAAAGCAUAUAAGCGUGAAGCCCUACCCAAGAUUAGAUAUCACUGUCAUUUAUAAUGACCUGAAGGUUCCAGGAAGACUACCUGGUUGAUAGGCUGGGCGUGUAAGCACAGUAAUGUGUUGAGCUAACCAGUACUAAUAGACCGUGAGACUUGGCCAU
rnacentral:rRNA from 1 species